UUUAAUAGGACUUACAUCAGUAAAUUUGAAUGUUUGUUCUUGCUUACAACCGGAAUUUCCAGGUCCUGGCCAGAUAUGCAGAAAGGAAUUAAGGGUUUGGAUAGUUUUUCGAUAUAAUUUGAAGCUGUUUAUCAUCUCAUCGUUUAAGAAUCGCUCCCCUUUCCGCACACCCAUUGCUGCCUCCCCUCGGGCUCGGUACGAGAGUCCCUGCGCCAAGCCAGGUUGCUCUGGGCCAGUUCGCGCUCCCGCGCCUCCGCGCUCGUCCACUCCUAUCCUCCUCAUCUCUUUCGAGCCAGUCUCUGAAUUUUUCGUUUAAAGCCGGUGGCAUUUCCGCGUGGAGAUGAAAAGGCAAGUGGCAGAGGUCAUCUAGCAAAGGAGGCUGAGGAUGUCGGGGUCCGCGGGCAGUUCCUUGUCUGGGUUACGGCUUUCCACCUCCCAGCGGCGCGGGGCCUGCCUGGGGCUUGACCUCUCCGCUGCCUCUGCCCGCAUGCACAGGAGCGCACACCGCGGCCCGCGGGCCGGGAUGUCUCCACCAUGUUCUCCUGUCUGCGCGCCCAGCGCUGGGUUCUCGCGCCUAAAUCCCAGUACCCAGCGGGGACCGAGAAGGUGUGUGUCCCCCUGUAGUGGGUUGAAUCGGUUAUUAGCAGAGGGAUCAGACCGGCGGCGGGAGGGCGAAGUUUCUCCUGCCGUCCGGACCAACCGGGAUCGCGAUUUCCCAGGACCGGCCCGACGGUCGGGCUGGUGGAGGCCUGAGCGGGCAGAGAGGGAGGGAGACAGCUCAACUUCUUUACAGAAGCGGCAUUGAGGCCAACAGGGUUGUGAGCAACGGAGUUCACAUCGUUACGGCGCUGCCCUGAAACUCUGGGCCUUCCUGAACCUCUGCUGUCACUUGGUGCGCUCACCAUCCUUGGUGAAGUUACUGCCCGCGGGCGCACCGGCCUGCAAACGGAGGGAGGUGCGGGCGGGAGCAGAGGCCGCCCUCCCUGGAUCUCUCUCCUGCCUGUCACAUCUGCAUUUAUUUAAAGCUCGGCUGGUGGUCCUCGCUCUCUGGAAUGCCAGUUGCGGGCCUGGCCUCCUACGACAUUCGCAUUGAUUAGUGAGCCUUUAUGGAAGUAGUGGGGGCAUAGAGAAGGCCGGAGAUUCACAAUAUUCAGCCUGCCCCCAUCGCUCGAGCUAGCCUGGAGCCCAGCGAUUCGCACUCACCAGAUGGCUGAGGGCGUCUAGGAUCAGAGACCCGAACUUCGAGAACAUUCCAUAUGCAUGGGAACUGACCUUUGUCACUUAAUACGUAGUGGUCGGGUGUGCACAGACAUCGCAGAAUCUCUGCCGGCUCCCGCGCCGAAUCACACAGAAGUGAACAAGUGCUGUCACCCCAGGUCCUAAAGUGUAUGAGCAGCUUUCUCUGUAUGAAACUCUUUAAGAAAUAGUUUCUGGUGCAAAUCCAGAAAAAAAAAAUUAAAUUGACAUGCCUCGUUUAAAAUACUGCACAUAAAGCGUAAAAAAGACACCGGUAACUUUCAUGGGAGACGCCACCCCAAGCGAUAGAAGCCGGGUGCAAAUUCAUCGUUGAAAAACAAGUUGGGUUCCAGCUUACUGUGAAUCUCUUAAGGGUGGUUGGGAGCAAAUGACAGGGGAGACCUUGGAUUCUCUGAGUCCCCCCCAAAUCCAGUCUGAUUUUGCAUUUGCUUUUGGAUUUGAUAUAAUUAAGGGUGAAAAUAAGGCCCUUCUGUUUUUCUAUUACCCUUUGCUUUUCUGCAAAGCUUUUACCCCAGAGAAAAGUUGUUUUAGUAAUCUGGGAAAGAGAAACCAUGUGCUGAGUCAGCAAAAACGCGGCACUAGGCCAGUUCAGUUCAAUAAUACCGGUAUGUGUAAUGUACACACUCUAUACGCCUUUGUGGAAAUAAUGAAAAAUAUAUUGGAAUUUUCAUGGCAUUAAAAAAUACCCACAAAACCUGUUGGCAGUUGAGAGGCCAGGUUGAGUUAAGUGGCGUGUCUUCUAAUACACGGAAAUACAUUCUGGACAUGUUUCCUAACAAGGGUUAGAUCUCACAACACUUAACAUGGAAGCAAAUGAGAAAUACAAUUCUCAAAACAAAAUGUUUUUUUUUCAAAUGGUCGCAUUGCGAAAGUUAAAACAAUCCUUUCUGCCUAAGGUCUGUGACUUGCAUCCAAGGUGACUCCAGUGAAUUGAAUCUUAGGUUUUUGUUUUGCACCAAUAAGACCAUUUCUUCAAAAAUGCAUCUUUAAAAGGUCCUAAACGUCUCCUUGCAAAUCCCAUUAGAACGUUGAUAACCUGUUGAUUUGCAUUCACAUUUGUGUUUAAGGAAUAAAUGUACUUAUGAAGAAGUCAUUGUUAAGCAGCUAUUUUUCAAAUGAUUGCUUGUAACUGUCCAAGUGUUAACCUGAAUUUGCAAAAUGUGAGCAUUUUAAUUAUUAAACAACAUUCCAAAUUGUAUUUUCAGUGACAGACACUCAGUAUUUCUGGGGAUAGUUCUUCAUGAUGCUUGUAAAUUUUUUAGUUGCAAAAAGUAUGGCUUUUUUUUUUUAAACUAGCAUGUUGAGUAAAAACAUUGAUGAAUUUG